rnacentral:sRNA from 1 species
CCCGUGAACCAUCGAGUUUUUGAACGCAAGUUGCGCCCGAGGCCACCCGGCCGAGGGCACGCCUGCCUGGGCGUCACGCCUCUUGUCGCUCUGCCUGCCUCGCCCUGAGCGCACCGAGCUCUUGCGGCGGUGGGCGGCGGAUGCGGAGAUUGGCCCUCCGUGCCUUGCGGCGCGGUGGGUCGAAGUGUUGGUCGCCGGCCGGGCGUGGCACGGUGAGUGGUGGACGGACUAGCUCCCGAGCGCCGGGCGCCGUGAAAAACCAUCCCGAUGCCGGGCACAUGACCAGGAUGAUAAGAACCCAAACCAAACGGCGCAAUGCGCCAUCGGAUCGCGACCCCAGGUCAGGCGGGAACACCCGCUGAGUUUAAGCAUAUCAAUAAGCGGAGGAGAAGAAACUUACAAGG